UACGGAGGGGGCUAGCGUUGUUCGGAAUUACUGGGCGUAAAGCGCGCGUAGGCGGCUUUGUAAGUUAGAGGUGAAAGCCCGGGGCUCAACCCCGGAAUUGCCUUUAAGACUGCAUCGCUUGAAUCCGGGAGAGGUGAGUGGAAUUCCGAGUGUAGAGGUGAAAUUCGUAGAUAUUCGGAAGAACACCAGUGGCGAAGGCGGCUCACUGGACCGGCAUUGACGCUGAGGUGCGAAAGCGUGGGGAGCAAACAGGG
rnacentral:rRNA from 1 species